GGCUGACAAGUUGCCAAUCAGACCGAGUGCCAAAAACGUGGGCAAACUGCAGGCUAAAACUACUAUUCGCAGAAUGGUACAUAGGGCGGUAGUAUCGCAGACUCAAAACGGAGUGCUAUUUAAGUAAAAGCUGAAAAGCACAGACAGAAGCCAGUCGGCAAACUAAAAUUCCCCUUCGCCAGAGACCGUUUUUCUUGCCUAUGCUCACAAAUGCAUCUGUCUUGCCCAAAAACCCGCAGACAUGCAGGGAAAAGGGAGAUUCAGGAUCCCAAAACUAAUCACCAAUUAGGGAUGGCAUAGAAAGAUGAAUGCUGUUCAGUUAUUCAAUUUAAGCUGUAAAGCUUCUUUACGGAGAUGUGAAAACUAAUAUAAGCAUGUUCUUCAAAGCUUAAAAUAUUUUGAUUAGCUACGCAAACUCGGUUACUAAUGUAAGUGCAAUCACGCUCACAUCUCCAACUCAUUCGCACUCCAGCUCGCAGAUAACGUAGCCAAAAAAAAAAUAGCCCAGGCAAAAGAAAACCAGCAUAGAAAUAGACCAAAGGAUAGCAGAGCGAAAAAAAGGAGACUGGAAGAAAUUCGGUGUGUUCUUUGGAGAUUUGGCAAGUAAAGUUGCUCGCUCAUGCGAAGAGCCGCAAAUGUGUGCAAUGGGCACAAGUUGCG
rnacentral:lncRNA from 1 species